rnacentral:rRNA from 1 species
UACGUAGGUGACAAGCGUUGUCCGGAUUUACUGGGCGUAAAGAGCGCGCAGGCGGUCGUUCAAGUCGAGUGUGAAAGCCCCCGGCUCAACUGGGGAGGGUCAUUCGAUACUGAUCGACUUGAAGGCAGGAGAGGGAAGCGGAAUUCCCGGUGUAGUGGUGAAAUGCGUAGAUAUCGGGAGGAACACCAGUGGCGAAGGCGGCUUCCUGGCCUGUUCUUGACGCUGAGGCGCGAAAGCUAGGGGAGCAAACGGG